AGGACGCUGGGCACCGGCGCGCUCCUGCUCCCAGCGCCGAGAGACCCGCCGAGGAAAGUUGCUGCCCCAAUUUGCGGGAACGUCUCCCUCAUCCGUCCUCUGGGGAACCGUGAAGUAAGCACAGAUCACAACUAAGGAGCUCUAUUACCUGAGAGGGAGGCUCCUGAGACACUCACUGGUGAGUGCUGCCCCAGGGCCUUCUUCUGGCUGCAGAUGGAAUGGGCUCAGGAGACCAGAGGAAGCACCUACGCAAGAAACACAGGCACUGGCCAUUCUAAGUUAGACCUGCCACAACGAAGGGCUUUCUGUGGGAACCAGUGAAGAUUUGGGCAAACCUUCCUUUUCAUGAAGCUGCUGCUGAGACAUCCACUUGGAGAAACACUGAAAAUGUCCUCACGGAGAAGACACAAGUAGCUCUGAUGGAUCCUUCCCAUCACAUGUCACUGUAGAGUGCUUCAAGGCUAGAGGAAUUCAGGUUUCCCAAAUUCCUAAUGAGGUUAU